CAUCUGAAACUUCUGUAAAUGCUGUGAGAAGAGCUUGGGGAAGAAGAGACAUUGAACUCUCUUCAAACAUAACCAUGAAAUGUGAAGUCACCCUACCAAAAGGAGCCUCUCAUCUAUAUAAAAAUGAAAAACAACCAGGCAAAAAAGAAAAAAAAAACAUUUUGCUCUUCAAGUUAAAAUAAUAAGAAUCAAAAGGAGAUUCAUGAAAACUUAACUGAACUUAACAUGGUUAUAUGAGACAGCAAGUGACAUGAAGGAGCAGACCACCAAGAUUUUGAGCAAUGAAUAAGGAGUUGGAAGAAUGAGAGGCAAAUAAGUGACAGAAGCAGUGAUUUCAAGAAGUCCAUAAUCACGUCAGCACACAUCCUGCCACUUCUAGGCAGGGAGGCAGAAGCGUUGUUGGUGUGAAGUAAGCAAGGAAACAGGAUCAGAAUGAAAUGCUUUAGGAUAUAUCGCUCAAAGUAGGAGUCAUAUGAUGAUUGAAUAUGCAACAUCACACUGCAGACAUACAUGAGAUAUACAUGUGGGAUGUAUAAUGGAAGGGUUCUCAAGAAGAAGGAAGGAGAAAGAAAGGAGAGCCUUGGAGUGGCUAAAUACUUUAUAUACAAAAUUUAUUUAACUCCCACAACAAUCCUAGGUAUUAUCAUGCCCAUUUUACAGAUGGAACUGAACAUCAGAGAGGUUAUGUAACUUUCCCAAGGUCACAAGCUAGUAAGUACUAGCCCUGAUCCCCUGAUUUCCUGCCUGUACUCACUGGCAGUAAGCCUCUUUCAUGCACCCUAGAUAGGAAAUGCCAAAACAUAGGGACUUUUCAAUACAAAGUGUAUGAAAUGGUUUGGCUGAGUCCCCACCGAAAUCUCUUCUUUUAGUUCCCAUUAUCCCCUUGUGUUGUGGGAGGGACGAGGUGGUAGGUAAUUUAAUCAUGGGAACAGUUGCCCUCAUGCUGUUCUCAUGAUAGUGAGUUCUCAUGAGAUCUGAUGGUUUUAUUAGGGGCUUUUCCCUCACUUCACUCAUUCUCUCUCCUGCCGCCUUGUGAAGGACAUGUUUGCUUCCCCUUCUGCCAUGAUUUUAAGUUUUUUGAGGCCUCCCUGGCCCUGUGGAAGGGUGAGUCAAUUAAGCCUCUAUCUAAUUUAUAAGCCUCUAUCUAAUUUAUAAAUUACCCAGUCUCGGGUAUGUCCUUAUAGCAGCAUGAGAACAGACUAAUACAGUAAACUGCUACUGCAGAGAAUGGGGUGCUUAUAUAAGAUACCCAAAAAUGUGGAAACAACUUUGGAACUGGGUAACAGACAGAUGUGGGAAUAGUUUGGAGGGCUCAGAAAAAGACAGGAAAAUGUGGGAAAGGUUGGAACUUCCUAGAGACUUGGAGGGCUUAGAGGACAGCAAGAUAUAAGAAGGUUUGGAACUUCCUAGAGACCUGUUGAACGGCUUUGACCAAAAUGCUGAUAAGGAUAUGGACAAUGAAGUUCAGGCUGAGGUGGUCUCAGAUAGAGAUGAGGAACUUCUUGUGAACUGAGUAAAGGUCACUCUUGCUAUGCAAAGAGACUCUAGGGCAUUUUGCCCCUGCCCUAGAGAUCUGUGGAACUUUGAACUUGAGAGUGAUAAUUUAGGGUAUCUGGCAGAAGAAACUUCUAAGAAGCAACGCGUUCAAGAGGUGACAGAGCAUAAAAGUUUAGAAAAUUUGCAGCUUGACAAUGCAGUAGAAAAGAAGAACCCAUUUUCUGGGGAGAAAUUGGAAAUUGUGUUUUAUUAAUAGACUUCGGAGUAUGUAUGGAAAUGCCUGGAUGUCCAGGGAGAAGUCUGCUGCAGGAGCAGACCUCUCAUGGAGAGCCUCUGCUAGGGCAGUAUGGAAAGGAAAUGCGGGAUUGGAACCCCAACACAGAGUCCCCACUGGGGCACUGCCUAGUAGAGCUGUGAGAACAGGGCCACCAUUCUCUAGGCCCCAGAAUGGUAGAUCCACCAAUGGCUUGCACCAUGCACCUGGAAAAGCUGCAGGCACUCAACACCAGCCCAUGAAAGCAGCCAGGUUGAGGGCUGUACCCUGCAAAGCCACAGAGGCAGAGUUGCCCAAGGUGUAGGAGCCUACCUCUUGCAUCAACGUGACCUGGAUGUGAGACAUGGAGUCAAACGACAUCAUUUUGGAACUUAAAGGUUUAAUGACUGCCCUAUUGGAUUUCCAAAUUGCAUGGGGCCUGUAGCCCCUUCAUUUUGGCCAAUUUAUCCCAUUUGAAAUGGAUGUGUUUACCCAAUACCUGUACCCCCAUUGUAUCUAGGAAGUAACUAACUUGCUUUUGAUUUUACAGGCUCAUAGGCAGAGGAAAUUGCCUUGUCUCAGAUGAGACUUUGGACUCGGACUUCUGAGUUAAUGCUGGAAUGAGUUAAGACUUUGGGGGAUUGUUGGAAGGGCAUGAUUGUGUUUUGAAAUCUGAGGAUAUGAGAUUUAGGAGGGGCCAGGGGUGAAAUGAUAUGGUUUGGCUGUGUCUCCACCCAAAUCUCAUCUUGAAUUUUAGUUUCCAUAAUCCCCAUGUGUUGUGGGAGGGACCUGGUGGGAGGUAAUGAUAUGGCUUGGCUGUGUCUCCACCCAAAUCUCAUCUUGAAUUUUAGUUUCCAUAAUCCCCAUGUGUUGUGGGAGGGACCUGGUGGGAGGUAAUUUAAUCAUGGGGGCAGCUGCUCUUGUGAUAGUGAGUGAGUUCUCAUGAGAUCUGAUGGUUUUAUAAGGGUAUUUUCCCCCACUUCCCUCAUUCUUCUCUCUUCUGCAGCCUUGUGAAGAAGGACAUGUUUUCUUCCCCUUCCACCAUGAUUGGCCUCCCAAGCCCUGUGGAACUGGAUUCAUCAUGAAUAUCCAUAAUAUGGUUUCUAAAAAUGCAUGAAGGAAUCAGAGGAGACCUGCUAACCAUGAAAAGAAGAGCAUAGCAAUAGAGAACCAAAGUGGCACAAGAAUGAUCAUCUUUGAAUAAUUUAGAAUCAAAUAACAUCAAAUCAACAAACACUUAUUGAAGCUCUCCAUCUUUCCAUCCUUGAUUCCUGUGUUAUUCAGCAUUUUUGGUAGGUUUCCAGCAGGCAGCCUUCUCUCAAAAGUACUGUUAGGUUGUAAUGUUUGCAAGUGCUGUCUUCAGGCUCUCUUACUGCUGAUGAGUAUCAAUCACAUAAAAUUGUGUAAACUCCUGCUUCAUAAAAAAGCAAGAGGCAAAAAUCUUCCUGCUUGGCAUUUCAAUGAAGUUGAAUUCAAUGUCAUGAUAGCAGUAAAUAUAAAUUGAUUUCUAGUAUAAUAACCAAUAAGGAGACCCUAAGUUUCUCUCAGAACCCAGAUAGCAUGUAAUAAAUUCUCCAUAUCUUGACAAAUUUUUAAACAAAGUAUUUUAGCUCUUCUUCCAGCUUUCAAAAUAUGCAUUAAAACCAGAAGACAAAGACUUAAAUCCAAAUGCAGUAUCAUCAUAUGGCAAUGUCACAUAAUUGCAUGAAAAAGUUGAUUCUAAAUUAUAAAAUUCAUUAUAAAUAAAAGGUGAGAAUGCAGUGAUAUAUAGUGUAGUGGUACCAGACAACAUGAGUUGAAAUCCUAAAUUAACCGCUUAAUAGAUGCAUAACCUUGUCAUAUUUCUUAACAUAUGUGUGCUUCAUUUUCUUUGUCUGUAAAUAAGAAUAAUGGUAACUACUUUAUAGGAUAGUUGCAAAAAUUCUAUGGAUUAAUAAUGCCUGGCACAUAGUAAGCGCCAAAAAUUGUGUUUGUCAUUAUUAGUAGUAUUGCUAGUACUAUUACUCCUAUGAAUAAAAGACUCCAUGAGCAAUUAGGAAAAUAAAGUGAUGCUUACCAGGAGUCAAUAUGUAUUCAGC
rnacentral:lncRNA from 10 species